UUUGUACUCCCUCCGUCCCGAAAUAAUUGUCGUAGAAAUGGAUACAAAUGGAUGUAUCUAGAAUUAAAAUACAUCUAGAUACGUCCAUUACUCGGACAAGUAUUUCCGGACGAAGGGGGUACAUG
rfam:Triticum urartu cultivar G1812 contig1032999, whole genome shotgun sequence.